GGAUAGCUGUGGAUUGAUGGCAGUUCAUCCCCCUGUGCUUUUUGUAGUGUCCCAUGCCAGGGCAAACUGUGGCCCCAAACCAUUCCCUGCAGAAAUGGGUGGUACAGAG
rnacentral:snoRNA from 1 species